GCACUGAUGGAGAGUCCCACAAUAGGACGAAAUGGUCAUCCAGUGC
rnacentral:hammerhead_ribozyme from 1 species